UAGCUACAAAAUAACUUAUUUUGUAGCCACUUUGAGUUACGAUAAUUACUAUAUUAAUUUACAAAAUUAUAGUAAUUCCUUACUAAAUGGUUUACUAUAAAAUUACGGUAAAUAUCUCCAUGAGUUAUAGUAACUCAACUAUCAUAAAUAUAUAUAUAUAUAUAUACUAUCGUAAAUUAGUAUAUAAAAUUAUCGUAAAUGGAGGUGGCUACAGAAUAACAUAUUUUGUAGCUA
rnacentral:pre_miRNA from 1 species